AUGGCAUUGUAAGCAUGUCGAGCGCUGAGGUACAGCUCGUAAAUCUCAUAUUUCACACUUUUAAAUGGCGAAUCUAAUUACGCUCUUGCCGCUUAAUCUGAAUUAUAGUAGGAUUUAGCCUCGUCCCUGCAAGGCAGGGAAGCGAGAUGUCCCGGGAUAGCCCUUGUUGAUGGCGAUCUGUUAUGGGGCACCAUAAAAAUCAACAUAAAGCCCUUUUUGCUUUAUUAAGGGUUAAAAGAUAACGAAGCUAAGUGUACAUUAGGCGGUUUUUGGUCAGAUGGACAACGAAAAUCAAACAAAAACUAAGCAUGUAGAAAGCGGUGAUAUUGCUUGUUUGGACGGGAGUUCGAUUCUCCCCGGCUCCACGA
rnacentral:tmRNA from 2 species